AGAGUUUGAUCCUGGCUCAGAGUGAACGCUGGCGGCGUGCCUAAUACAUGCAAGUCGAACGAUGAAGCUUCUAGCUUGCUAGAAUGCUGAUUAGUGGCGCACGGGUGAGUAACGCAUAGGUCAUGUGCCUCUUAGUUUGGGAUAGCCAUUGGAAACGAUGAUUAAUACCAGAUACUCCCUACGGGGGAAAGAUUUAUCGCUAAGAGAUCAGCCUAUGUCCUAUCAGCUUGUUGGUAAGGUAAUGGCUUACCAAGGCUAUGACGGGUAUCCGGCCUGAGAGGGUGAACGGACACACUGGAACUGAGACACGGUCCAGACUCCUACGGGAGGCAGCAGUAGGGAAUAUUGCUCAAUGGGGGAAACCCUGAAGCAGCAACGCCGCGUGGAGGAUGAAGGUUUUAGGAUUGUAAACUCCUUUUGUUAGAGAAGAUAAUGACGGUAUCUAACGAAUAAGCACCGGCUAACUCCGUGCCAGCAGCCGCGGUAAUACGGAGGGUGCAAGCGUUACUCGGAAUCACUGGGCGUAAAGAGCGCGUAGGCGGGAUAGUCAGUCAGGUGUGAAAUCCUAUGGCUUAACCAUAGAACUGCAUUUGAAACUACUAUUCUAGAGUGUGGGAGAGGUAGGUGGAAUUCUUGGUGUAGGGGUAAAAUCCGUAGAGAUCAAGAGGAAUACUCAUUGCGAAGGCGACCUGCUGGAACAUUACUGACGCUGAUUGCGCGAAAGCGUGGGGAGCAAACAGGAUUAGAUACCCUGGUAGUCCACGCCCUAAACGAUGGAUGCUAGUUGUUGGAGGGCUUAGUCUCUCCAGUAAUGCAGCUAACGCAUUAAGCAUCCCGCCUGGGGAGUACGGUCGCAAGAUUAAAACUCAAAGGAAUAGACGGGGACCCGCACAAGCGGUGGAGCAUGUGGUUUAAUUCGAAGAUACACGAAGAACCUUACCUAGGCUUGACAUUGAGAGAAUCCGCUAGAAAUAGUGGAGUGUCUAGCUUGCUAGACCUUGAAAACAGGUGCUGCACGGCUGUCGUCAGCUCGUGUCGUGAGAUGUUGGGUUAAGUCCCGCAACGAGCGCAACCCCCUUUCUUAGUUGCUAACAGGUUAUGCUGAGAACUCUAAGGAUACUGCCUCCGUAAGGAGGAGGAAGGUGGGGACGACGUCAAGUCAUCAUGGCCCUUACGCCUAGGGCUACACACGUGCUACAAUGGGGUGCACAAAGAGAAGCAAUACUGCGAAGUGGAGCCAAUCUUCAAAACACCUCUCAGUUCGGAUUGUAGGCUGCAACUCGCCUGCAUGAAGCUGGAAUCGCUAGUAAUCGCAAAUCAGCCAUGUUGCGGUGAAUACGUUCCCGGGUCUUGUACUCACCGCCCGUCACACCAUGGGAGUUGUGUUUGCCUUAAGUCAGGAUGCUAAACCAGCUACUGCCCACGGCACACACAGCGACUGGGGUGAAGUCGUAACAAGGUAACCGUAGGUGAACCUGCGGUUG
rnacentral:rRNA from 1 species